GCUACUUCCAGUACCUUUGCACAGAUACAGAUGUAAAAAACUGUGUAUUGAAUGGAUUUUUGAAACAGGGAGCUGGAAUAGGAGCUUACUCCAUCCACUCCGUGCAUCAACCUGGUAUUACAGUGCUUCCAGGAAUGGUGCACCUCCC
ensembl:snRNA U2 U2 spliceosomal RNA